CGGCAUAGCUCAGCUGGUAGAGCAGUUGAUUUGUAAUCAUCAGGUCGGGAGUUCGAAUCCCUCUGCCGGC
rnacentral:tRNA from 1 species